AGGAUAAUAGUUAAUUAUAAUAUUUAAUUUGCAAUUAAAAGGUAUUGAUCAGUCAAUUUAUCUUA
rnacentral:tRNA from 1 species